UUUUAAAUGCAAAGCAAUAACAUCAUGAACAGAAAAACUGAAAAUAAGAAGUCAUUAAGUGUUAGUUGAAAGAAAAUUACUUGGAUCAUCUUAUGGUAACAGGAAAAGGAGCUAGGUUGACUCAGCAGAAUCAAGCAGAUACAUUGUAGAGGGGAUAACAGGAACAAGCUUGGGUUGCAAAGGAAAACCAAAGGAACUUGAAAGACACAAGAAACUAUGUAAAAGAAGGCAAACAUGCUUGCCAGGAGAAGGAUGGUUUUAGUAGCUCUGGGCUCAGGAGGAUCUGGGACAGACAGUUGUCCUGAGCAUAUGCUGUGCUGCAUUCUUUGUAUGUCUGUACAAGAGGAGAACAGUGGAGCUGCUGGCCUACUGCAUGAAAUCCAGGCACACCAUGUCAGGGAAUGACAGGAAUCAUUAUUUCAGUAAUUUUGUGAGACCAACCUGAAUAACAGUAUCCAUAGUCUUUUGGCCCUGUCAUGUUUAUAUUGCUUCUAAUUGCAGUCAUGUUCUUUAGAAUGCCUAUAUUUCCAACGAGGUACAGGACCCAGCUGAGGCCUGUGGAGGAAUCAAUGUAUCUGUGUUUUGGGGCCUUAAGUUCUGCCCACACAGAGUCCCUGGGGCUAACGGUCAUGGCCUGGAAGGCACUCGAGACAGAUGCUGCUGCCCAUUCUGGCUAUAGAAAAGAACUGUGCAACCUAAAUCACCCAGAAAAUCUUGGAACCCAAAUGCUGCCAUUUUUUGUGGCACUCCUCUACAGAGAGGAGUUAAGAUUUGGGCUAUAUUCAAGUGCUACAUAAUCAAGCCUAUGCACAUUAAACUGCAUCCUGUGAGGUUAAAGACUCAUAAUUGUAGAGGAGGAAGGAACUACCCAGAACUCCAGCCACAGUCUGUUAUAACAAGGUAAUUAUCAACUUCCAUCCUAUUAGUUCCUGCUGUUUAAGCCUAGGGAUCCUGUGUGAGAAUGGGCUGUAUGCACAAUGUCAGCUGACACCCAACAUUCUUAACACCGCAUAUGAAGUACAAAACUUAUGUCUUGAAUAUAGUGCAAAAGAUUUCCUCAUCCUUUACCAACUAAUAUGACUUUAUGCAGAUGGAAACUAUUGUAAACAAAGAUGUUGAAUAUUUGUAAAUUUAUUUUUUAACUAUAGUAAAAUGGAAACCUAAAUCCUGGCUGAAUGGUAAUGGAGAGAGUAUAUUGAGUCAUAAUUCUGCUGAAAAAGACAGCGAGAUGUUUGGACUCUUUAAAUAGCCUACUCUGGGCUGGAGAGAUGACCCAGUGGUUGAAAGUGCUUUCUUGCAAAGCGUGAUGGCCUGGGUCAGUUCCCAGCACCGUCAAAAGCCAGACACACAAAGUGACAUAUGUAUCUGGUUCUCAUCCAGUGGCAGGAGACCUUGGUGCUCCUGUGCUUUCAUAAAUAAGUAAUAAAUAUUUUUAAAAGAGUAAA